CACCAUCUUUGUUUCCCUCCUUUGGAUACUCUCUAAUAGCUUUAUAUCUUUCUUACAUUGUGGCACCCAAAACUGCCCCAGCAUUCAAGGUGGGGCUGCCCCAGUGCAGAACAGAGCAAGACAAUCCCCUCUCUUGCCCAGCUGGCAAUGCUGUGCCCGAUGCACCCCAGCAUGUGGCUGACCCUCCUGGAUCCAGGGCACUGCUGACUCAUGUUCAACUUGUCAUUGACCAGGACCUUGUUGGUCAUAGAUGAUGUAUAGGGACUAACCAGGAUUGCUCUGUUUUACAAGGGCAUUAUUUAACCAAGGACAGGCCAGUCCCUAAAAGGAAGACUAUAUUCUAAGGAAUGGAUUUGCUGUGGAACUAGCACAUACUGCCCAAGCAAUGUGAAGCAUAGACUGAAGGCUAGAAGCACCCUGAAUAACAUCCAGUUGUCAACCAGGAAUACUGCUUUGAGUCCUUGAAAUAAACAAGAACAGAGUUUGACCUCCUUUCUGCAAAGGCUGUUACUAC